CCGGCUCAUGUGUUUGCCAACAAUCUGUAGGUAAUCGAUUUUGAUCCAAUUGAUGCCACUUUAUUUUUAAAUAGAAUUCUUUUUGAAUUAAUCUCAUGAAAGAAGGAGAUGUGAAGUUGUUAAACCUCCGUCGUAGACAAGCAAUUAGAAAUCUGCAAGAUAAAUUGUGCAUUGUUGAAGGAGAUAUGAUCUCAUAUACAGAGGAUGCAAUGUCGGCAGAUGGAGG
rnacentral:misc_RNA from 1 species